GGCGCGAUAGCUCAGUCGGUAGAGCAACGGAUUGAAAAUCCGUGUGUCGGCA
rnacentral:tRNA from 1 species